AUGGGGAAAGUCAGCAGUAUUAAUCUGCUGCUGGUAGAGCCGAUGUGGGCUUUGAAGUUCUGUAGACCCAUGUGCAUCCUUCUGCUUUUACCUACUACCUAUGUGACUCAGACCUGUGGAUCAUGCCACAAUUGGCCAUCAAUUAAGUUACAAAGUUCUAAUGGGGAGAUAUUUGAAGUUGAUGUAGAAAAUGCCAAACAAUCUGUGACAAUCAAGACCAUGUUGGAAGAUCUGGGAAUGGAUGGUGAAGAAGAUGAUGACCCAGUUGUUCUACCAAAUGUUAAUGCAGCAAUAUUAAAAAAAGGUCAUUCAGUAGUGCACACACCAGAAGGAUGACCCUCCUCCUCUUGAGGAUGAUGAGAACAAAGAAAAGUGAACAGAAGAUAUCCCCAUUUGCGACCAAGAAUUCCUGAAAGUUGACCAAGGAUCAUUUUUGUGAACUUAUUCUGGCUGCGAACUACUUAGACAUCAAAGUUUGCUUGAUGUUACGGGCAAGACUGUUGCCAAUAUGAUCAAGGGAAAAACUCCUGAGGAGAUUUGCAAAGCCUUCAAUAUCAAACAUGACUUCACUGAAGAGGAGGAAGCCCAGGUAGGCAAAGAGAACGGGUCAUGUGAAGGGAAGUGGAAUGUGGUACCUGACACUAUAGCACUAUAA